GAUGAACGCUGGCGGCGUGCCUAAUACAUGCAAGUCGAGCGAACGGACGAGAAGCUUGCUUCCCUGAUGUUAGCGGCGGACGGGUGAGUAACACGUGGAUAACCUACCUAUAAGACUGGGAUAACUUCGGGAAACCGCAGCUAAUACCGGAUGAUAUUUUGAACCGCAUGGUUCAAAAGUGAAAGACGGUCUUGCUGUCACUUAUAGACGGAUCCGCGCUGCAUUAGCUAGUUGGUAAGGUAACGGCCUACCAAGGCAACGAUGCAUAGCCGACCUGAGAGGGUGAUCAGCCACACUGGAACUGAGACACGGUCCAGACUCCUACGGGAGGCAGCAGUAGGGAAUCUUCCGCAAUGGGCGAAGGCCUGACGGAGCAACGCCGCGUGAGUGAUGAAGGUCUUCGGAUCGUAAAACUCUGUUAUUAGGGAAGAACAUAUGUGUAAGUAACUGUGCACAUCUUGACGGUACCUAAUCAGAAAGCAACGGCUAACUACGUG
rnacentral:rRNA from 1 species